rnacentral:rRNA from 1 species
CAGUAGCCGCGGUAAUGCGAAGGGGGCUAGCGUUGUUCGGAAUUACUGGGCGUAAAGCGCACGUAGGCGGACAUUUAAGUCAGGGGUGAAAUCCCGGGGCUCAACCCCGGAACUGCCUUUGAUACUGGGUGUCUAGAGUAUGGAAGAGGUGAGUGGAAUUCCGAGUGUAGAGGUGAAAUUCGUAGAUAUUCGGAGGAACACCAGUGGCGAAGGCGGCUCACUGGUCCAUUACUGACGCUGAGGUGCGAAAGCGUGGGGAGCAAACAGGAUUAGAUACCCCAGUAGUCCCUGUCUCUUAUAC